GGUUUAUAUUACUCUGACAUUAUCUACUGGUUUAUAUUACUCUGACAUUAUCUACUGGUUUAUAUUACUCUGACAUUAUCUACUGGUUUAUAUUAAUCUGACAUUAUCUACUGGUUUAUAUUAAGGUGAUGGGGUGUGUGUGUUUUAAUUUAAUGAUAAUUUAAAUAUAUGUUCAAUUAUUUACUGGUGCAGCACAUAUUUAUAUUAAGGUGAGGUGUGUGUGUGUGUUUUAAUGUAGUAAAUGAUUCUAAUAGAGGUUACAUUAGUUACUGGUGCAAGUUUCUUUCACCUUGUAAAGAAUAUAUUCAGAGUGCUAACAGAGUAACAGGCCUCUUCACCAUGGCAUGGCAGAGCAUGGAUUUACAGAAUGAAUGUACAACUUGCAGUGUACUAUUAAAUCCCAUAGAGGGCACCACAAACACAUUUACUGAGGGAGGAAGGGAGCAAGCUCCUGUAUAAUGAUACAAUCACCUGGAAGGUCUUGAUGCUGCAGUACAUUACAAACAGCAGCCAGGAUACAGGUGUUGAAUUGCUUAUCAGGAGGACAGGGCUAAGGUAGAUGGCAGAUGAAGGACAGUUCUCUUUUUCACAUGAUCCUCCAGUGCAAUGACACGGGCAGCUCUAGCCUGGGUCACUCUGAGCCUCUGUCUGGUAAGUGAGAGGAGUUGUCCUCGUGCAGCUCAGCAAGCUGGUCUCUUCCAGUCCAGGUCUGCGUUCCAACCAUGGCUGCGUUUCUACCUGGAGGAAAAGCCCCCCAGGACUGGAGCCUGUCACAAUGCAAGUGAAGCUGCCGCAUAUACUAGCACUGUGGCGCCCCCUAUGGUCUUUAAAUAGGUCUGCAUUAUCACGCAGAAAUAUAUGUGCAGUCUGCAGGGUGCAAUGCAACAUGGGGUGAAGUCAUUAAGGCUAUGAGUAGGGUGGUUUGCUACAGCUUAUGAUUUAAAUGGAAAUGUCUUAUUUUUCUGAUGAUAUUUAAUUUACAUUGCUGUAAAAACUAAAAAUAACAGGGUCACUGACUCAGUUUUAUUUCUCAUUAUAGUGUAUGGGGAGCAGAGGGGAGGGGGGCAAAUCCAUGCAUUCAUGAAACACAUUCAUCUCAUGCAAACACAUAGAAAUCACACGAGCUGUACCAAAGAAAAUAUGUGAUUCAUGUCAUUGUAUUGUAUGAAGGGUUGUGCAUGAUAAUGAUACUCUACUACUCUGUAUUUCUGAAUGUAUUUUUGCUGAUUUAUUUCAAUAAAGUUUCAAUCUCAA